GGUGGCGAGUGGCGAACGGGUGAGUAAUAUAUCGGAACGUACCGAGCAGUGGGGGAUAACUAAUCGAAAGAUUAGCUAAUACCGCAUAUCUUCUGAGGAGAAAGCAGGGGACCAUUUGGCCUUGCGCUGUUGAGCGGCCGAUAUCUGAUUAGCUAGUUGGUGGGGUAAAGGCCUACCAAGGCGACGAUCAGUAGCGGGUCUGAGAGGAUGAUCCGCCACACUGGGACUGAGACACGGCCCAG
rnacentral:rRNA from 1 species